GUGUCAGCAGCCGCGGUAAUACGAAGGGGGCUAGCGUUGUUCGGAAUCACUGGGCGUAAAGCGCACGUAGGCGGAUCGUUAAGUCGGGGGUGAAAUCCCAGGGCUCAACCCUGGAACUGCCUUCGAUACUGGCGAUCUUCGAGUCCGGGAGAGGUGAGUGGAACUCCGAGUGUAGAGGUGAAAUUCGUAGAUAUUCGGAAGAACACCAGUGGCGAAGGCGGCUCACUGGCCCGGUACUGACGCUGAGGUGCGAAAGCGUGGGGAGCAAACAGGAUUAGAAACCCGAGUAGUCC
rnacentral:rRNA from 1 species